UGAAUACGAGACGCUAAGGCGUCGAAGUAGUGUAUGUUAUACUUCCAAGAAAAGCUUGCACUGUCAUAGAUAAAAAACGCCUGUACCAUAACCGACACAGGUGGGUAGGUAGAGUAUACUAAGGGGCGCGAGAUAACUCUCUCUAAGGAACUCGGCAAAAUAACUCCGUAACUUCGGGAGAAGGAGUGCCUUAUUCGUAAGGUUGCAAUAACAAGAUCCAAGCAACUGUUUAUCAAAAACACAGGUCUCCGCUAAGUCGUAAGACGAUGUAUGGGGGCUGACGCCUGCCCAGUGCCAGAAGGUUAAAGAAGUUGGUUAGCAAUUGCGAAGCUGAUAACUGAAGCCCUGGUGAACGGCGGCCGUAACAAUAACGGUCCUAAGGUAGCGAAAUUCCUUGUCGGGUAAGUUCCGACCCGCACGAAAGGCGUAAUGAUUUGGAUACUGUCUCGGAGAGGGGCUCGGUGAAAUAGACUUGUCUGUGAAGAUGCGGACUACCUGCACCGGGACAGAAAGACCCUAUGAAGCUUUACUGUAACUUGAAAUUGAAAUUGGACUUUAUUCGCGCAGUAUAGGUGGGAGGCGUUGAUUAUAAUCUUGUGGGAUUAUUGGAGCCAUCAGUGAGAUACCACUCUUGUAAUGUUAGAUUUCUAACUUUGAAUCAUUAUCUGGUCAAAGAACAGUUUCAGGCGGGCAGUUUGACUGGGGCGGUCGCCUCCUAAACGGUAACGGAGGCGUACAAAGGUUUCCUCUGAACGGUUAGAAAUCGUAUCUAGAGUGUAAAGGCAUAAGGAAGCUUGACUGUGAGACCUACAAGUCGAGCAGGGACGAAAGUCGGUCUUAGUGAUCUGACGGUACUGAGUGGAAAGGCCGUCACUCAACGGAUAAAAGUUACUCUAAGGAUAACAGGCUGAUCUCCCCCAAGAGUUCACAUCGACGGGGAGGUUUGGCACCUCGAUGUCGGCUCAUCGCAUCCUGGGGCGGUAGUACGUCCCAAGGGUUGGGCUGUUCGCCCAUGAAAGCGGUACGCGAGCUGGGUUCAGAACGUCGUGAGACAGUUCGGUCCAUAUCCGGUGUAGGCGUUAGAAUAUUGAGAGGAGCCUUCUUUAGUACGAGAGGACCGAGAAGGACAUACCUCUGGUGUACCAGUUAUCGUGCCAACGGUAAACGCUGGGUAGCUAUGUAUGGAGUGGAUAACCGCUGAAAGCAUCUAUGUGGGAAGCCCACCUCAAGAUAAG
rnacentral:rRNA from 1 species